GGGGUGGUCCCAAAAAGCCGAGGCUGGCUGAUGGAACCCAUGUCCCCUAUGCAGCGGCAGUGCAGUCGGACCUACUGGUUGCGGUGACAACUGCGACCGGAGAGCUCUUGACUGCAUAGGCCGCACAAUAUAAUAUUUGCAAUAACAUUUUUACUGUGACGCAUUUUUUCUUUUUUUUUUCUCACAGACUUACAAUUCAGCUGAGGUUGAAAUUGAAAUGGAAGCUGAACGUAUUCUUUUAAGUAGUCUGAGUGCAUUCGAAUAUUUUGUUACUCAGCUACCGGAGAAACACAAUAAAUGGUUGUGGGACAAAUUAAAGCCAUUCCUUGAAUCGCUCUCAUUUUGGGAUCUCUCUAUUCACGAAUCAGAGUAUGUUCGGGCGGGCUGGUACAGCGCGUGUGGGCGUAUAUGCGAGCGUGAGGGUCCAUGACUGAAUAUCUCGAGCACCCGCUUGCG
rnacentral:misc_RNA from 1 species